UACAUGGGGUGCAAACGUUGCUCGGAAUUACUGGGCGUAAAGCGUGCGCAGGCGGUUCUCCAAGUCCGUUGUGAAAGCCCCGGGCUCAACCUGGGAAUGGCAGUGGAAACUAGGGGACUGGAAUCUGGCAGAGGGGGGUGGAAUGCCGCGUGUAGCAGUGAAAUGCGUAGAGAUGCGGCGGAACACCGAUGGCGAAGGCAGCCCCCUGGGCUGAGAUUGACGCUCAGGCACGAAAGCGUGGGGAGCAAACAGG
rnacentral:rRNA from 1 species